CCCGCUGAGUUUAAGCAUAUCAAUAAGCGGAG
rnacentral:rRNA from 5 species